rnacentral:rRNA from 1 species
UACGAAGGGGGCUAGCGUUGCUCGGAAUCACUGGGCGUAAAGGGUGCGUAGGCGGGUCUUUUAAGUCAGGGGUGAAAUCCUGGAGCUCAACUCCAGAACUGCCUUUGAUACUGAAGAUCUUGAGUUCGGGAGAGGUGAGUGGAACUGCGAGUGUAGAGGUGAAAUUCGUAGAUAUUCGCAAGAACACCAGUGGCGAAGGCGGCUCACUGGCCCGAUACUGACGCUGAGGCACGAAAGCGCUGGGGAGCAAACAGG